AACAGGGAGAAGGAACAUCUGUUUGUCCGGAGAUGGCCCAGGGCUUCGACUAGUGGGGCCCAAAAGACGACUCCCAGGCCCAAUCACAACAGCUGCAGCCGGAGACACAAUCCGCAGCCCCCCGGGUCUGUGCAGUGACCAGCCAGUCCGUGAGAACUUUCCCCUCCAGCGCCCGGGACAAUGAGGCUCUGGCUCCAUGUACUGUUCCUUGCAGUGGCUUUGGAAGGUGUCCGGUCCCAGGUGCAGCUGGUGGAGUCCGGAGGGGAUGUGAAAAAGCCUGGAGACUCUCUCCGCCUCUCCUGCAAAGCCUCCGGGUUCACCAUCAGCAGCUACGGGAUGAACUGGGUCCGGCAGGCUCCCGGGAAGGGGCUGGAGUGGGUUUCAAGCACUUAUUGGGAAGUAUGGAACCGCUAUUACUACGCAGACUCAGUGAAAGGCCGAUUCACCAUCUCCAGGGACGAUUCCAACAACCUGGUGCAUUUGGACAUGACCGGCCUGAAGCCCGAGGACACCGCCCGCUAUUACUGUGCGAGAGAGACACACAGUGCGGGGAAGCCGGGCUGAGCUCAGACAAAAACUUGCCCUCGCUGGCUAAGCACAAACUCUCCGCUGGGGGGCGCUGCAGUUCUACAGCUCGCAGCGCAGAGACCGUGAGCGAGAAAACUCCGGCCCGCAGCUGCCUGCCUGUGACU